UACGGAGGGAGCGAACGUUGUUCGGAUUUACUGGGCGUAAAGGGUGUGUAGGCGGUCUUGCAAGUCAGGGGUGAAAUCCCUCGGCUUAACCGAGGAACUGCCUGUCAAACUGCAUGGCUUGAGACCAGGAGAGGUGAGUGGAAUUCCCAGUGUAGCGGUGAAAUGCGUAGAUAUUGGGAGGAACACCAGUGGCGAAGGCGGCUCACUGGACUGGUACUGACGCUGAUGCGCGAAAGCGUGGGGAGCAAACAGG
rnacentral:rRNA from 1 species